UUUCCAGAGAUGGAUUCGUGCUCGAAAGAGAACCUGCACACAGGUGCUGCAUGGCUGUCGUCAGCUCGUGUCGUGAGAUGUUGGGUUAAGUCCCGCAACGAGCGCAACCCUUGCCAUCAGUUGCUACGAAAGGGCACUCUGAUGGGACUGCCGGUGACAAACCGGAGGAAGGUGGGGGAUGACGUCAAGUCCUCAUGGCCCUUAUAGGUGGGGCUACACACGUCAUACAAUGGCCGGUACAAAGGGCAGCAAACCCGCGAGGGGGAGCCAAUCCAUCAAAGCCGGUCGUAGUCCGGAUCGCAGUCUGCAACUCGACUGCGUGAAGUCGGAAUCGCUAGUAAUCGUGGAUCAGCAUGUCACGGUGAAUACGUUCCCGGGUCUU
rnacentral:rRNA from 1 species